CCUUGUACACACCGCCCGUCAAGUCAUGAAAGUCGGUAACACCCGAAGCCAGUGGCCCAACCGCAAGGAGGGAGCUGUCGAAGGUGGGAUCGGUGAUUAGGACU
rnacentral:rRNA from 1 species